AUUGAACGCUGGCGGCAGGCCUAACACAUGCAAGUCGAACGAGUGGCGGACGGGUGAGUAAUGUCUGGGAAACUGCCCGAUGGAGGGGGAUAACUACUGGAAACGGUAGCUAAUACCGCAUACCAUCGGAUGUGCCCAGAUGGGAUUAGCUAGUAGGUGGGGUAACGGCUCACCUAGGCGACGAUCCCUAGCUGGUCUGAGAGGAUGACCAUCCACACUGGAACUGAGACACGGUCAAGACUCCUACGGGAGGCAGCAGUGGGGAAUAUUGCACAAAGGGCGCAAGCCUGAUGCAGCCAGUCCGCGUGUAGGAAGAAGGCCUUCGGGUUGUAAAGUACUUGCAGCGAGGAUGCGUUACUCGCAGAAGAAGCACCGGCUAACUCCGGGCCAGGAGCCGCGGUAAUUC
rnacentral:rRNA from 1 species